AGAAUCAACGCUGGCGGCGUGCCUAACACAUGCAAGUCGCACGAGAAAGUGGAGCAAUCCAUGAGUAAAGUGGCGCACGGGUGAGUAACACGUGAAUGAUCUACCUCCGAGUGGGGAAUAACUGAGAGAAAUCUUAGCUAAUACCGCAUAACACUUACGAGUCAAAGCAGCAAUGCGCUUGGAGAGGAGUUCGCGGCCGAUUAGCUAGUUGGCGGGGUAAUGGCCCACCAAGGCGAUGAUCGGUA
rnacentral:rRNA from 1 species